GUCUGCUUGCUUUCAUGACAUAUAUCUCAAAUGAAACACAGAAGAUAAACAUGGUCCCUGUGCAAGGAUGAUCUGUAGAUUCAUGAAGUACUUCCAAUUUCU
ensembl:snRNA U6 U6 spliceosomal RNA